rnacentral:rRNA from 1 species
UUUAUGGAGAGUUUGAUCCUGGCUCAGGAUGAACGCUGGCGGCGUGCCUAAUACAUGCAAGUCGAGCGAACGGACGAGAAGCUUGCUUCUCUGAUGUUAGCGGCGGACGGGUGAGUAACACGUGGAUAACCUACCUAUAAGACUGGGAUAACUUCGGGAAACCGGAGCUAAUACCGGAUGAUAUUUUGAACCGCAUGGUUCAAAAGUGAAAGACGGUCUUGCUGUCACUUAUAGAUGGAUCCGCG